UUGCUUUGGUCUAUAGAUGGAUCUUUACAGCUUACAGAUCUUGUGAUCUCCAUUACUGGAUGUAAAAUUCAGAUGCUGCUCCAUAUAGAUAUCUUUCUCAAGAUAUCUAUUUAGAAAAGAAAUGUUGGAUGUAUGUCCUAGAAAUCAAUCUUGGCUGACACAUUUCAUAUCUCUAGAACAUGAUUUUAUAGUUAUUGGGU
rnacentral:lncRNA from 1 species